rnacentral:rRNA from 1 species
UGCAAGUCGUACGCUUCUUUUUCCACCGGAGCUUGCUCCACCGGAAAAAGAAGAGUGGCGAACGGGUGAGUAACACGUGGGUAACCUGCCCAUCAGAAGGGGAUAACACUUGGAAACAGGUGCUAAUACCGUAUAACAAUCGAAACCGCAUGGUUUUGAUUUGAAAGGCGCUUUCGGGUGUCGCUGAUGGAUGGACCCGCGGUGCAUUAGCUAGUUGGUGAGGUAACGGCUCACCAAGGCCACGAUGCAUAGCCGACCUGAGAGGGUGAUCGGCCACAUUGGGACUGAGACACGGCCCAAACUCCUACGGGAGGCAGCAGUAGGGAAUCUUCGGCAAUGGACGAAAGUCUGACCGAGCAACGCCGCGUGAGUGAAGAAGGUUUUCGGAUCGUAAAACUCUGUUGUUAGAGAAGAACAAGGAUGAGAGUAACUGUUCAUCCCUUGACGGUAUCUAACCAGAAAGCCACGGCUAACUACGUGCCAGCAGCCGCGGUAAUACGUAGGUGGCAAGCGUUGUCCGGAUUUAUUGGGCGUAAAGCGAGCGCAGGCGGUUUCUUAAGUCUGAUGUGAAAGCCCCCGGCUCAACCGGGGAGGGUCAUUGGAAACUGGGAGACUUGAGUGCAGAAGAGGAGAGUGGAAUUCCAUGUGUAGCGGUGAAAUGCGUAGAUAUAUGGAGGAACACCAGUGGCGAAGGCGGCUCUCUGGUCUGUAACUGACGCUGAGGCUCGAAAGCGUGGGGAGCAAACAGGAUUAGAUACCCUGGUAGUCCACGCCGUAAACGAUGAGUGCUAAGUGUUGGAGGGUUUCCGCCCUUCAGUGCUGCAGCUAACGCAUUAAGCACUCCGCCUGGGGAGUACGACCGCAAGGUUGAAACUCAAAGGAAUUGACGGGGGCCCGCACAAGCGGUGGAGCAUGUGGUUUAAUUCGAAGCAACGCGAAGAACCUUACCAGGUCUUGACAUCCUUUGACCACUCUAGAGAUAGAGCUUCCCCUUCGGGGGCAAAGUGACAGGUGGUGCAUGGUUGUCGUCAGCUCGUGUCGUGAGAUGUUGGGUUAAGUCCCGCAACGAGCGCAACCCUUAUUGUUAGUUGCCAUCAUUCAGUUGGGCACUCUAGCAAGACUGCCGGUGACAAACCGGAGGAAGGUGGGGAUGACGUCAAAUCAUCAUGCCCCUUAUGACCUGGGCUACACACGUGCUACAAUGGGAAGUACAACGAGUCGCGAAGUCGCGAGGCUAAGCUAAUCUCUUAAAGCUUCUCUCAGUUCGGAUUGUAGGCUGCAACUCGCCUACAUGAAGCCGGAAUCGCUAGUAAUCGCGGAUCAGCACGCCGCGGUGAAUACGUUCCCGGGCCUUGUACACACCGCCCGUCACACCACGAGAGUUUGUAACACCCGAAGUCGGUGAGGUAACCUUUUGGAGCCAGCCGC